UACGUAGGGGGCUAGCGUUGUCCGGAAUCAUUGGGCGUAAAGCGCGUGUAGGCGGUCCGGUAGGUCGGCUGUGAAAGUCCAGGGCUCAACCCUGGGAUGCCGGUCGAUACUGCCGGACUAGAGUUCGGAAGAGGCGAGUGGAAUUCCCGGUGUAGCGGUGAAAUGCGCAGAUAUCGGGAGGAACACCAAUGGCGAAGGCAGCUCGCUGGGACGUUACUGACGCUGAGACGCGAAAGCGUGGGGAGCAAACAGG
rnacentral:rRNA from 1 species